AUACAGAGGGUGCGAGCGUUAAUCGGAAUUACUGGGCGUAAAGCGCGCGUAGGCGGCUUAUUAAGCCAGAUGUGAAAUCCCCGGGCUCAACCUGGGAACUGCAUCUGAUACUGGUAAGCUAGAGUUUGGGAGAGGGAAGUAGAAUUUCAGGUGUAGCGGUGAAAUGCAUAGAGAUCUGAAGGAGUACCAGUGGCGAAGGCGACUUCCUGGCCUAAAACUGACGCUGAGGUGCGAAAGCGUGGGUAGCAAACGGGAUUAGAAACCCGUGUAGUCC
rnacentral:rRNA from 1 species